AGAGGAGGGGCCGGCACGCAGUCCUUGAAAGUGGGGGCUGUUGCCCGCCGCCUCUUCUUAGGGUAAGAACGGGGAGAGUCAUCAGGCCUCUGUCUGUGGAACAGCAGCUCCAUUCAACAGUCAUCAAAGAGUUUGCUAUCUUCUUCAAACUUUGCAGCCAAUCUCACCCACGGAUUGAAGAAGACAACUUGUAAAUAACAGGAGGAAACUUAAGUAGAGCAUUUAAUUUUCUCUUCAGUUAAAAUAAAAAAAGUAAAUGCUGGAAAUGGAAAUGAUGACGAGAAAUAUGCAAGAAAAUAAGCCAUGAUUUUUCUGGCACAGCACUUUAUCUUUACAUAAAAUUGGGAUUUUGUUGAUAAGCAUUUUUACUGAAGCCAAAAAGACCUCUCCUUCAGUUAUGUUUUUAAUCCUAACAUCUGGAUAGAAAUUAAUUGUUCCAUUUACAAAUUAAAUGAAUCUUGUGAAGAAUAAUGUUCACCAAUAAAAUGUGCCUGAAAGAUCUGGAACAUCAGAAUUUUUCUUCCUGUAAACCACAAAAAAGAAUUUUUCAUAUGAAAGAAAACCAUGAGGUUUAUGGAGCUCCAGAGCGUUUGUGAGCAAAUCCACCGGGGAAGCCCAUGGUGGCAUCUCUAGACUCAGGUGAGGGUAAUGCGUCUGCAGAGUGAGCCUCAGCAUUGGGACCCUGUGUGACCAAAGGCAGGACACGGCCAUCGCAGCACAGAGGGGUCACCGACGCACAACAGGGCUCCCGGUGCACCCGCAGCAGCUUUCUUCAAAAUUA
rnacentral:lncRNA from 1 species